ACUGGUGUGGUAGUACCCACCUGUAAUCCCAGGUGCUCAGGAGGCUGAAGCAGAAGGAUCACCUGCGUCCAUGAGUCCUAGGCUUGGUGCACUAUACCAAUCAGGUGUCCACACUGAAAUUGGCAUCAAUACAGCGAACUCCCCGGAGCAUGGGACCACCCAGUUGCCUAAAGAUGGGUGAACCAGCUUAGGUCAACAAUGGAGCAAUAAAAACUCUUGUGCUGGUCAGUAGUGGGAUCACACCUGUGAAUAGCCACCACACUCCAUUGUGAGCAACAGAGUGAGACCACCAUCUC
ensembl:misc_RNA Metazoa_SRP Metazoan signal recognition particle RNA